rnacentral:rRNA from 1 species
ACUAAACGCUGGCGGCGUGCCUAACACAUGCAAGUCGUACAAGAAAGCCGGCUUCGGCUGGUGAGUAAAGUGGCGCACGGGUGAGUAACGCGUGGAUAAUCUGCCCUUAAGUGUGGAAUAACGUACCGAAAGGUGCGCUAAUACCGCAUAAUGCCUGGCAACACAAGUUGUCCGGCCAAAGAAGGCCUCUGUUUACAAGCUUUCGCUUCAGGAUGAGUCCGCGUACCAUUAGCUUGUUGGUGGGGUAAUGGCCUACCAAGGCUGCGAUGGUUAGCUGGUCUGAGAGGAUGAUCAGCCACACUGGAACUGAGACACGGUCCAGACUCCUACGGGGAGGCAGCAGUGAGGAAUAUUGCGCAAUGGGGGACAACCCGUGACGCAGCAACGCCGCGUGAGUGAGGAAGGUUUCGGACUGUAAAGCUCUGUCGAGCGGGAAGAAGUGUACCAUGGCUAAUAUCCAUGAUAUUUGACGGUACCGCUAGAGG